rnacentral:rRNA from 1 species
GACGAACGCUGGCGGCGUGCUUAACACAUGCAAGUCGAACGGAAAGGCCCUGCUUGCAGGGUACUCGAGUGGCGAACGGGUGAGUAACACGUGGGUGAUCUGCCCUGCACUUCGGGAUAAGCCUGGGAAACUGGGUCUAAUACCGGAUAGGAGCCAUUUUUAGUGUGAUGGUUGGAAAGUUUUUUCGGUGUAGGAUGAGCUCGCGGCCUAUCAGCUUGUUGGUGGGGUAAUGGCCUACCAAGGCGGCGACGGGUAGCCGGCCUGAGAGGGUGGACGGCCACAUUGGGACUGAGAGACGGCCCAGACUCCUACGGGAGGCAGCAGGGGGGAAGAUUGCACAAUGGGCGCAAGCCUGAUGCAGCGACGCCGCGUGGGGGAUGACGGCCUUCGGGUUGUAAACUCCUUUCGCUAGGGACGAAGCUUUUUGUGACGGUACCUAGAGAAGAAGCACCGGCUAACUACGUG